GAUCAUGGCUCAGGAUGAACGCUAGCUACAGGCUUAACACAUGCAAGUCGUGGGGCAGCAUGGGAGAUGCUUGCAUUUCCCGAUGGCGACCGGCGCACGGGUGAGUAACGCGUAUCCAACCUGCCCUUCACUCCGGCACAGCCCAUCGAGAGACGGAUUAAUGCGGGAUGCAGUCAGAAAGAUGCAUAUUAAUUUGACGAAAGGCCUUCGGCCGGUGAGGGAG
rnacentral:rRNA from 1 species